rnacentral:rRNA from 1 species
GACGAACGCUGGCGGCGUGCUUAACACAUGCAAGUCGAACGGAAAGGCCCUGCUUUUGUGGGGUGCUCGAGUGGCGAACGGGUGAGUAACACGUGAGUAACCUGCCCUUGACUUUGGGAUAACUUCAGGAAACUGGGGCUAAUACCGGAUAGGAGCUCCUGCUGCAUGGUGGGGGUUGGAAAGUUUCGGCGGUUGGGGAUGGACUCGCGGCUUAUCAGCUUGUUGGUGGGGUAGUGGCUUACCAAGGCUUUGACGGGUAGCCGGCCUGGGAGGGUGACCGGCACAAUGGGACUGAGGAAAGGCCCAGAGCCCGAAGGGGGGGAAGGGGGGGGAAGAUGGUCCAAAGGGGGGGAGCCUGAGGACAGGACCCCCGGGUGGGGAAGAACGGCUUUGGGGUUGAAAACGCUUUCCGCUGGGAACAAGGGGUAGGGAAGGGAAAUGGAGAAGAAGCACCGGCUAAAUUAGUG